AAUCCAUGGUGUGGACACUAAAGAGUAUAGCCUUUAAAACUCUCCCAGGCCUCACAAAAGGAUUCAGAUUGCUUUUGGGUGAAACCAGAUAUUUCAUUCCGUAGCCU